rnacentral:lncRNA from 1 species
AAGGGAGCCAAUCAGGUGCAGCACGGCGGACGAUGAUGCGGUGGAUGGCGUCCUCGAGCUUCCUGAGGAGAGGAUCAGUGGAGGAUUCAUCGGCGGAGGCAGGAUCGGCGGCGGCGUUGCUGUUGGGAAGGUUGGAGUGCGAUCGGAGGGCGAGGCAGCGGAAGGAGGCGGAGGAUGAUCUGGAGACUGCGGCCGAUGCGAGGUAGAAGGAAAGGGUGCGAGCCAUUGGAGAAGACGAACGAAGAUUGGAGGAAUUGAAUUGAGAGUGGAGAGUAAGGUAAACGUGGAAGGGAAGGAGGGUGGGAAAUUAAGGAAGGUGGUUAAAUAGAAAGACUGGUGGAUAAGGGGGAGAGAGAAGAAAAUGGGAAGGAAGUGGACGGCUG